rnacentral:rRNA from 1 species
GACGAACGCUGGCGGCGUGCUUAACACAUGCAAGUCGAACGGAAAGGCCCUGCUUUUGUGGGGUGCUCGAGUGGCGAACGGGUGAGUAACACGUGAGUAACCUGCCCUUGACUUUGGGAUAACUUCAGGAAACUGGGGCUAAUACCGGAUAGGAGCUCCUGCUGCAUGGUGGGGGUUGGAAAGUUUCGGCGGUUGGGGCUGGACUCGCGGCUUAUCAGCUUGUUGGUGGGGUAGUGGCUUACCAAGGCUUUGACGGGUAGCCGGCCUGAGAGGGUGACCGGCCACAUUGGGACUGAGAUACGGCCCAGACUCCUACGGGAGGCAGCAGUGGGGAAUAUUGCACAAUGGGCGGACGCCUGUUGCAGCAACGCCGCGUGCGGGAUGACGGCCUUCGGGUUGUAAACCGCUUUCGCCUGUGACGAAGCGUGAGUGACGGUAAUGGGUAAAGAAGCACCGGCUAACUACGUG